rnacentral:lncRNA from 1 species
AUUUUCGUACUCCCAGGGUGUACAGUAUACGGCGCCCGAUGUGCUUCUGUUAGAAUCUCUUCUUUAAUACCAGAAUCGGCCGGUAUACAGAGCCUAUCACCGAAUUUCAAUAAUCCCCGAUCAUCUACGCGAAACUCACUAUCAUGAUCAACAGUGAUCUUAUCUCGAAUCUUCUGCAGGAAUUCAUCUUGAGUUUGCUUUUCUUUAAUUCGAUCGAUCAGGGUAGGCUGCACCACUAAUGACAUAAGUCUCCAAGGCGUAUCAGGAGCUACAACUUCGAAACUUAAUUGCUCCAUUUCUUUUACCAACAGAGGUUGCAUUGUUAUCGACAUCGCCAAAUUUUCCGUCGAUUUUCGACUUAAAGCAUCUGCUGCGACAUUAGCCUUUCCCGGAUGAUAGAGGAUGGUCAAAUCAUAAUCCUUGAGUAACUCCAACCAUCUACGUUGCCUCAAGUUUAAUUCCUUCUGUGUAAACAGAUACUUUAAGCUUUUAUGAUCUGUAUAAACUUCGCAACGCUCGCCGUAGAGGUAGUGGCGCCAAAGCUUUAAAGCAAAUACCACAGCUGCUAACUCAAGAUCAUGUGUAGGGUAGUUCUUUUCAUAAUCCUUUAAUUGGCGAGAAGCAUAGGCAAUUACUCUGCCAUUUUGCAUUAGAACACACCCUAAUCCAUUCAGUGAUGCAUCGCUGUAAAUCACAUAAUCCACUCCAGUAACGGGCAGUGCUAAAAUCGGGGCGGUAGUCAACCGUUCCUUCAGCUCCUGAAAGCUUCUUUCACAGGCUUCAUUCCACAGGAAUUUAGCUCCUUUAUGUGUGAGUCGAGUGAGAGGAGUGGACAUCUUCGCAAAUCCUUCUACAAAUCUUCGGUAGUAUCCUGCCAACCCAAGGAAACUCCGAAUUUCAGUGACACUGGUCGGCCUAGGCCAAUCUUUAAUCGCUUCAAUCUUCUUGGGAUCCACAGCUAUCCCAGUUUCAGAAAUCACAUGGCCCAGAAAUGCCACUUCUUGAAGCCAAAAUUCGCAUUUCUUUAACUUGGCAAAUAGUUCCUUUUCUCGAAGUACUUGUAACACUACUCUCAAAUGGUCUUCAUGCUCCUUGUCACUUCGAGAAUAUAUCAAGAUGUCAUCAAUAAACACUACCACAAAUCUGUCCAAAUAGGGCUUAAAGACACGGUUCAUUAAAUCCAUAAAGGCUGCUGGGGCAUUAGUCAAUCCAAACGGCAUGACUGUAAAUUCAUAAUGCCCAUACCGUGUUCUAAAAGCAGUCUUAGAAACAUCUUCAGGCUUAAUCUUGAGCUGAUGAUAGCCUGAUUGCAAAUCGAUUUUGGAGUAUACUUUCGAUCCUUGCAGCUGAUCGAAUAAGUCAUCAAUUCUGGGCAAUGGAUAUUUAUUCUUGAUUGUGACUUUGUUGAUUUCUCGAUAAUCCACGCACAAUCGAAGAGAUCCAUCUUUCUUCUUGACAAAUAACACCGGUGCUCCCCAAGGCGAUACACUCGGUCGAAUAAAUCCUUUGUCUAAAAGAUCUUGUAAUUGUGCCUUCAGCUCUUUUAACUCAGCGGGUGCCAUUCUAUAGGGUGCUUUAGAAAUAGGAGUUGUCCCAGGGACAAGAUCAAUCACAAACUCCACUUCCCUAUCAGGUGGCAUGCCCGGCAACUCAGCUGGAAACACAUCCCCGAAUUCUCGCACAACUGGAAUAUCAUCAAUCUUGACGGUUUUUCCGUCACUCAUAGAAAUGCUAGCCAAGUAGGCUACACAACCCCUCCGAAUCAACUGUCGUGCUCGCGAAGAGCUAAUGGUCAUUGCGAACAAUGAACUCUGGCACCCUUUAUAAACAAACUCCUGCUGACCCGGUUCCCGAAAGGUCACCGUUCUGUUCGUGCAAUCUAUGGUGGCAUAAUACUGUGUCAACCAAUCCAUACCCAAUACUACAUCAAACUCACCUAGUUUGUGUAGUGCCAGUAAAUCCACUGGCAUGAUCCAGUCGCCUACCCUAACUGGGCAGCGAGGGCAAAACUCACGAACAUCAAGGGUAUGGUCAGGUACAAUCACUCGUCCCAGAUGCAAAGUAGGUGCUAAAGAAAUGCUAUACAACUCGGCGAACUGCCGAUCAAUAAAAGAAUGCGAUGCACCAGUAUCAAAUAAUGCACGAACACGAAUAUCAUAAAGCAUAAUGAUACCUGCUACGACCUCCUGUGCUGCAGCGGCGCCCUCGGUCUGGGCGGCAUACAUCCGCCCACUCGAACCCUGCUGUGAACUCUCUGACUGCCGCUGUCCUGGUGGUCGCCUAGACUGAUAGGGUGCUGUCGGGGUCCCCUGGCUCGGAGCUGAAGAUGCAGGUGCAGUCGCCGACGAGGGUGCAGGCAAAGAACCUCUCGGGCACUCUGAGCGAAAGUGGCCCUCCUGGCUGCAAAGAAAGCACCUGCCCCCACGCUGUGGACACUGUGGCGGUACAUGAGGCCCACCACAGAUAACACAACGCGGUGGUCGACGACGCUCGGGUGCUCCACAGGGUGCUGAAGAAUCUCGACCCCUCGACUGACCUGACUGUCCCCUCGGAUACUUUGGUGGCUUUCUAAAGGAUUGCUGACCACUGCUCUCAACUGCUGGUCUUUUUCCUUUGCUUCUAUCCACAACGUCUCUUUCUUUCAUUAUCUCUGCCCCCUUCUCAACAAUCAAGGCCCGGUUCACUACAUCCCGGUAAGUGGAGAGGUUUGAUGCCUGGACCAAUCUGAAAAUUGCAGGUCGCAAACCCACCUCAAAGAUACGAGCCUUGUCCUCAUCAUCUCGAACGAAAAAAGGAACGCAGUGCAGUAAUCGGGAGAACUCUCGCUCGUACUCAGCCACUGUCCUGUCCCCCUGUCUCAAGUUUCUCAAAUCCCUUUCCAUCUGCCUCUUUACACUCUGAGGAAAGUAAGUAGUCAACAACAAUUCCUUAAAUCUGCUCCACGUGAUAGCGGACAAAUCAGCACGAGGAUCCUCACGGAUAUCCACCCACCACCUAUACGCCUCACCAUCAAGGUGGUGUGUCGCAAACCAAACUCGGUACCGCUCCUCAACAAAUGUAUCAUAGAAUAGCUUCUCCAUAUGCAUUAACCAUUUCUCGACCACCCAGUGAUCUGCUUUUUCCCCGUCAAAAACACGAGGGUUGCAGCGACGGAAUUCAUUCAGUCGUUCCAUCAUCCGCUCUCGCUCCUCAACCCCCACCAUCUCGGGUAACACUGUACCAGAUGCUGCUACAGGUACUAGUGGUGGUACUACUGUCUCCGGUCGGGUCUCUGCCCUCGGAGCUACUGGGGGUGUGUCAAGUACAGGUGACUGUGCUCUCACUGUCGCAUCCCUGUCCGGUACUGUAGGUAUAGGAUCCGGAAUCUCUCUGUCAGUCGUCUGCCGCAGUAACAGAUCCUCUAACCUCUUCAUCCUGUCCUCCUGACGACGCACAGCAUCCAUCUGCUGUCGUGCUGCUGCAGCCUGCUGAGUAACCAAAUCCGUCAACAUCGCAAGCUGAUCCUGUAACUCAUGGAUCCCACUAGAUCCCGAAGUAACAGAAGUCCCCACUUCCUCUGCAUUUGUCGCCUCAGCUGCCCCGGCGGCUUGCGAACGAGUCAACGGCAUCUUAAGCUGCAGCACAAAAACAAACAUAGGUCAAUAAACCCUAUACUAUUGAACCCUCAUUGAGGAUAUAACCAGCUAAUGAAGCGAAAGUAAUGAAAUGUAACGCGUACUAACUUCCGAUGUCACGUUGUCGGCCGCCAACGUGACCCUCUGCAAAGUUAGUAAUUGCACAUUCCNUGUGGUUCUUGCUCUUAAAUGUAUUGCACUUGUGUGCGCUAUGUUCGAUCAUGUAUGUUAUCUAAGCAUUUCUGGGCGCUUAUUUGUACAUGAUCUGGUUGUUUAGCCUUGGGCGGACAGGAGAGGUGCUGUCCGUUCGGCGUCUGUUCGACGCGCCCGAACCGGACCAAAUUGGUAGCGGCAUCGGGGCGUGACAUACUCCUUUAGCGUUUAGCUUUUACAUUCAUUAGCAUACUUUACAUACAUUUACUUAGCAUCUAGCUCAUGUCAUUAUAUGCAUUUAUUAGCAUCAUUGCCGUACAUUCUUAAUUAGCAUUCUUAUUAUGCAUUCUUACUUAACAUUCUUGUCAUGCAUCAAUAGUGAAACACACUACACUUUGGCAUGAAGGCGACCUAGUCGCUUCGGUAAACACAACCCACCUCUUAAUGCGUUCCAAUUGCUUGUCGUCACUUGCAAUCGGCCUCCCGCGGCACCCGUGACCCGGUUCGGCUCGAACUCUCGCGCGACCACCCGAACGACCACCAAUUCGCGAUCCGUCUGUUCGGGAGUUUAUUCCCCGACACCACGAUGCUCCCGAUCCAUUUUCAUGAUUUUUGGAGGCUUAUCCCGCGUGCUGCGGCUAUCUGUACCAAAACAGAUUGUUUCGUCAAUAACUUCGCGUACGCUCGUCGGAUUGUCGAACCGAGCGCACCAACGCGUUCGUUAUACCCCCAAUUAGGUUUGUAUAGGGUCAAUUGAGAUCAAACUCAACUAUUUACAAAAACCCCUUUUGGAGCCCUAAUAUGCAACUAUUGCAAAAUGCCCCAUUUCAUCUUAUGAAUCAAGCAUAAACCAUCUAUUUAGCAUGCUAAGAUUCCAUCUAAACCAUCUUUAUAGUAUAAGAACUUAACCCUAAAGAUCUACCAUUAAAGCUCCAAGAAGCUUACCUCAAGAAGCUUGCUCCAUUGCAAGGAGGAAGAAGAUGAGGAUGACUCUCUCCUCCUUGUCUUCUUCUCCUUCUUUUUCUUCUCUUCUCCUUUUUCUUCUCUUCACCUUCCUCUUUUACUUUCUAGAGAGAGAGAGGAGAGAUUUUGGUGCAAUAUGGUGAGGGAAAGGGAGAGAGAGAGAGGUUCUAAUCCUCUCUUUACUCAUAACCCAUGCACAAAAUGCCAAUAAGUCCCUCAACAAUGCCUCUCUCGCAACAGCCCGAACUGGGCAUUUUCGGGGUCUAGGACCGGUCCCAAGCAGUGAGAGACCGGUCCCCGAAAGGCCAGAAUUCCAGACUUAGCCAAUUUUUUAGCAUUUUCAACCUCUAUCCUUUUUCACUCCGUUUUCGCUCGUUUUCGCUCGUUUGACCUCCGUUUCUUUUCAAAUCGAACCGAGACUCUCCAAACAUGUUUUCGAACAUGUUUUCAUCAUCUUUUCAUCCACGCUAAUGCCGGAUUUAGGUCCACGGUCCAACAUAGCCUUUCGGGUUCCGUUCUCGCGCCCUACGCGCACCGAAGCACCCGAACUUUGCCGAAACGAUUACAAUGGCUUUCUAAGCUAACAUACAUCGUAACUUCAUGAAUUAGAAGUUCGGUAUAUUACACAGUGCUAUGACUAAAUCAUGCUGAUAUGCUCAAUGCGAAAAUUGGUAGAAAAUCGAUGCCUUGAUUGAAGCCAAAUAUAAAGGCAUACAACGCCGAACCAUGAUCAACUAGAUCGAAACACACGACAAAAGAGUCGAUGUGUUGUCUGGACCCGGGUCCACAGAUAUACAAUAUAUGAAAGCCUGCUCUACAUGUCUACGAACAACUAUCACCAUGCAACUAUCAAGAUAUAGAUAAACGAACAAUAAACAAAGGCAACCGACAUGUAGAGACUAAAAUACUGAUAUGCAAGUGCAAUAGCAAGGAAAAGGAAAGUAAAACAAUCUCACUGACUUCCAGGUUGAAGCACCCACCUGUCACAGUCGCGUCUGAAUUCUGGACGCGCAAGAAGUCAACCGGACCUACGAUGGGUCCACCGAGUUAGAGACAAACCCCUACUGACUCAACGAAAGAACUGACACAAAUCCCACAUCCCGAGAUUCAGUUUCCCAACAAUCGAGCUCCGCAAACCACCGAGAACGCCCUGAAAUCACACCGGGACAUCCCCGGGACCCACAUAAAGUCCCAGAAGGCACCGACUUGCACUAGGAGCUGACCGCUACCUCGAAACACACCCAUUUGGGUGUUCUGGCAACAAUCACUAAGUCCUACACCAAAAUGAUUCUCUUCGGAUAACCAUUCUAAUUCGGGUUAUCGAAAAUGUCUAAUUCGACAUUGGAAUCCACCGCCGCUCGCCCGACAUCUUCGGACACUCGAGACGGCAUAGGUGACCAGCCAACACGGCUCUACAGCAAAACAAACGGCAAUCCAAAAGCAUCGAAAGAAUCCCGACCCAAAACAGCAUUUCUCUGGCGGGUUUCGCCGAAAAACGCGCAAAACGGCAACUCGAUCCCCGUGGAAGGCCCCAAACCUUAGAUAAUCAAUCCAGAGGUCACCUACACUCUGCCCACAGUAGCCACCCCAAUUGUGCAAAAGACCCUUCCAUAAACAAUAUAGCAUUUAUAUGAAUAGUGGGUAGAGAUACCGCGAUCCGAGCAUUCCCGAGGUCGGCCGAGGCGAAGGCCGUGCUCACUGUCCGAAGCACAGCGAGCAAUCGAGGAGCAGACAAGAACGUCCCAAAAAUAAGCGGUCGAGGCGAACGGGAAGCGACGGAGGUGAAAACCCAAGAUCAGGCCUCUGCGGCGGAAGUUGAGGUGAGUAUUGUGAUCGGGGGACUCUCAGGAUUACGGUGCUCCCCUCCGUAAGUUCCGAGGAGGUCCGGAUGCGUCGAAACAGCGCGAUGAUCGAAACCAAGUAUAACCGGCCAAUAGGAGAGGUUCUGGGUUCACUCCGGCCUACUGGGGCUCCAGCGGUAAGGGCGCCGGUGGCAGCCGGAUGCGGUCGCCUACGGGAAGCCGGCGCGUGCAUCGGCCGGCAACAAGGCGGUGGGCAAUGAUACCCUAGCCACAAGAAACAAGGGGAGAGAUCGACUUUGCUUCUCCGGCAACGGCGGCCACAGGGCGGCGUCGACCGAUGGCGAGGGUACCCGGAUGUCACGCCCGGGUACCAGCGGAAGCAUAUCCGGUACGUGCACAGACCCGCCAUACACCUGCAGUAUAUAAGGCGUCUACGAAGAAGGCAAGUCGAUAGGAAGUAAAACCAAGAGAGUCCUAUCCUGAUAUCAGAGCAAUGUACAAGUCGAUUUACAAUCAGUAAAAGAACCGAGAGUAUACAAUCCAAAAUCCCAACAAAAGGAGAAGAAGUAAAAAAAACUAUAACAUCUGGAUCUACAACCUAUAUACAAUAUAGGGUAUACAAAAACAUCUGUACAAAGGUGGUCACUCUAUACAAUGGACAUCACCCUCGGCCGUAGCCCGAGUAGCAAGGUGAUCGACUAGCACGCUCCUAGCAAAGUCUAGCUAGACGCGACUCCCUUGNCAAAGUAUUUUCGCUAACAACAACCUCGACUAGACAUCGUCUCUCACGAGCCUAUCCUUAUAGUUCAACCAGCCUAAGGUUUGCUAGGUCUACGAAGACUCAACCCUAGGCUCUGAUACCACUAUAAUCUGUCACGCCCGGGUACCAGCGGAAGCAUAUCCGGCACGUGCACAGACCCGCCAUACACCUGCAGUAUAUAAGGCGUCUACAAGAAGCAAGUCGAUAGAAAGUAAAGCAAAGAGAGUCCUAUCCUGAUAUCAGAGCAAUGUACAAGUCGAUAUACUAUCAGUAAAAGAACAAAGAGUGUACAAUCCAAAAUCUCGACAGAAGAGAAGUAUCACGGCUGUAGUUCUCGGUCCAAAGAGUACAUAUACAUCACGGGUAUACAAAAAUAGGUACAAUGGUGGUUUCUCUAUACAAAAGGGACAUCACCCUCGGUCGUAGCCCGAGUAGCAAGGUGAUCGACUAGCACGCUCCUAGCAACGACUAGCUAGACGCGACUUCCUUGCCACGAUCCCUAGCCUCUCCUGCAGAUGGCUCUGUAAAAACAACCACCAAAAGGGCGUGAGAACUAUUAACAAUAGUUCCCAGUGGGUAAGCCGCUAGCCUCGGCGAAUUACACCACUAGGCUCAUGAUGUACUGAAAGUAAGUAGAAGCGAUAAAUGCAUGAUAUAGAAAUAUGCAGUGCUAACCGGUAACAAGCAUGUAUUCAACAUGUAAAUAUGAUUUCUGCAGUAAUGAAUCAACUAAAUAAUAGAAGUAUUGCAACUAUUAUGAACAUGAUCCUACACAUAAUCAUAGAAAUGUAAGUACUACUGUACACUACAACUGAUACUCAUUCAUUACUGUCAUUAUCAUUUCCACUCUCAUUUUCAUUCACUAGGACCUACCCAAGGUAGUCCAACUUGCGCCGCGCCUAAUGGCCCCGUGGUAGUAUACACUCCCCACGGCAAUCCACUUCGGCACCAAAUCCCGCACGGGCUAGCAACUGUCGCGUAGGCCAACUCCGGAGUGCCGGCUUGUAGGGAGCGACCCUCACAAGCGUGUGCGAAUGAGCACGGUGGCAGGCAAGCACAAUCCAUUGUCCACAUGUCUCAAUUUUCAUAUUUUCAUUUACAAUGUUCUUACCCUCGAUCCUCCGAUCGGAAUUUCAAUACACAAAUAGUAACAAGAACUAGUAUCCACUAGAUUGUAAACAUGUAAGGGUAAUGCUAAAUCACAUGGCAUUAUAAUCUUUCCACUAUCAUGACAUUAUCAACAAGUCAUAGUUCUCUACUUUAGAGUCAAGAGCAUGUCAUUGUUCUCUAUUGUUCAUAAGUCAUUCAACUGAAUUGAAUAUGAAUAUAAAUACUUUCAUGCCUAUAUGUUCUCUACUUUAUAGAGAUUUCAUUCUACUUAAGCAUCAAUUAUCACAAUGAUAUGUUUCCAAUUCUCUAUCAAUCACAUAUGCACUCAAUGCACCUAUGCGAUUAUUCUAUUCUGUAAAUACAUAUAGAACAUAGGGGAACUCCACUUGCUCUGGUUAGGUCCGACCCACCUAGUACUAAGUAGCCCAACGGAGUCCCAAACUCCAGCUCAAUCAAGUUUCAGCCCUGCGGAAGAACAAAUGUUGGAAUCGCAUCAAACGUAACCGAACUGCCCAAAUUCGGCUCAAUUGCACAUGGUACAAGGUAGCAACUUAAAUCCCUGUUUUGGGUCAGUGAAAUACCUCAAGUUAAGCCUCCAAAAGCUCUCACCACUCAGCUGAAAGCAAUCCAAGGGUCAAAUGCAAUCCUGCUGCGAAUAAAUGUUAAACGGCGUCAAAACGCUCGUAUCCUAGUUCCAAAAGCCGAAACCAUGCGAAUUCAGUUUUCUAACUGAACUUACAGCUUACCUCUGGAUGAAACACCCUGUAAACAAGUUCCCAAGAUCACUAAUUUCACGUAAAAUGCAUCGGUCACCUGCUGCGGAGAAACCAAUUUCCAAACUGCAUCAAUAGUUCGAUUAAUGUCGUAUAGUUAUAAACAAACUCUUGCUGACCCGGUUCCCUAAAGGUUACCGUUCUGUUCGUGCAAUCUAUGGUGGCAUAAUAUUGUGUCAACCAAUCCAUACCCAAUACUACAUCAAACUCACCUAGUUUGUGUAGUGCCAAUAAAUCCACUGGCAUAAUCCAGUCGCCUACCCUAACUGGGCAGCGAGGGCAAAACUCACGAACAUCUAGGAUAUGGUCAGGUACAACUACUCGUCCCAGAUGCAAAGUAGGUGCUAAAGGAAUGCUAUGCAACUCGGCGAACUGCCGAUCAAUAAAAGAAUGCGAAGCACCAGAAUCAAAUAAUGCACGAACACGAAUAUCAUAAAGCAUAAUAAUACCUGCUACGACCUCCUGUGCUGCUGCAGCGCCCUCAGUCUGGGCGGCAUACAUCCGCCCACUCGAACCCUGCUGCGAGCUCUCCGACUGCCGCUGUCCUGGUGGUCGCCUAGACUGAUACGGUGCUGUCGGGGUCCCCUGGCUCGGAGCUGAAGAUGCAGGCGCAGUCGCUGACGAGGGUGCAGGCAAAGAACCUCUCGGGCACUCUGAACGAAAAUGGCCCUCCUGGCCGCAAAGAAAGCACCUGCCCCCACGCUGUGGACACUGUGGCGGUACGUGAGGCCCACCACAGAUAACACAACGCGGCGGUCGACGACGCUCGGGUGCUCCACGGGGUGCCGAAGAACCUCGACCCCUCGACUGUCCUGACUGUCCCCUCGGAUACUUUGACGGUCUCCGAAAGGACUGCUGACCACUGCUCUCGACUGCUGGCCUCUUUCCCUUGCUUCUAUCCACAACGUCUCUUUCUUUCAUAAUCUCCGCCCCUUUCUUAACGAUCAAUGCUCUGUUCACUACAUCCCUGUAAGUAGAUAGGUUUGACGCCUGGACCAAUCGGAAAAUCGCAGGUCGCAAACCCACCUCAAAUAUGCGAGCCUUGUCCUCAUCAUCUCGAACUACAAAAGGAACGCAGUGCAGUAAUCGGGAGAACUCUCGCUCGUACUCUGCCACUGUCCUGUCCCCCUGCCUCAGGUUUCUCAGAUCCCUUUCCAUCUGUCUCUUUACACUCUGAGGAAAGUAAGUAGUCAAUAACAAUUCCUUGAAUCUCGUCCAGGUGAUAGCGGAUAAAUCAGCACGGGGAUCCUCACGGAUAUCCACCCACCACCUGUAAGCCUCGCCAUCAAGGUGGUGUGUCGCAAACCAAACUCGAUACCGCUCCUCAACAAAUGUAUCAUAGAAUAGCUUCUCCAUGUGCAUUAGCCAUUUCUCGACCACCCAGUGAUCUGCUUUCUCCCCG